GUCUAGGUCUUGCCCAUCAUUGGACCUUAUGUAGAUUAGUAAAUCAUCAGUGAGCCCGAGCAACAUGUUCGGAAGCUUCGGAAAACCUUCACAAGUAUCUGCCUGGAUGCUGCUAGCAGUCAACCAAGUUGCUAUGGUUGCUUCUAUAAUAACAUUUGCGGUUGGAUUGUGGAUGAUAGCAUCACCAAAUUCCUUGUCAUAUAUUAUAGACGCCAUUGGAAUUACUCUCAUAUGGGCGCUCCUGCCUCCUUCAGCUCUGACGGUGCAGCUUGGCGUCGGGCUGGUCUUCCUCGCCAUGUUUAGCUUCUUCAUCUCGUUCAUGGGUUUUUAUGGAGCGAUCUCGAGGUCGCAGUUCCUGCUUUUCAUGUAUGCGACGUUGAACAUGCUGGUUCUUCUCCCUGGAGUGCGCUCUGCUCUUCUAUUUCUCUUCAAACUUGGUCGAGAAAGGGCAGCGCGAAAGUGACCAGUGGACGCACACACUCCGACUCACGUUCAAAUGCUGCGAAUUAAAUGUAACACAGCAGGAUGUGCAGAUCCCGUGGUCUUGUUGCGGUGUGGUGGGAUACCCUCACAACUGCACCUCCUCAACAGUCUUUCAGGACGACUGUUAUACCACCUUUUCAACUUGGUGGAGUCGCUAUCAGACCGCAAUAUAUGCUUCGCUGGCGGUGUUCCACAUCAUACUAUCGUCGUGCUCACUCCUGCGCAGAACCAGCAGUGCGUCUCGCUCGCACAGCUAGCACACGGAGCACCGUAAUGACGGUGCUCCAACUCCAAAGCCCAGAUGGCAGAAGUCCAGGGUGUCGCCCAGCGCUGAGUCGGGCGACGGAGUCCUCAUGUUGGUGCUCGGCCGCGGCAGGCUGGGCUGGGUGGACAAAACUUGAAGCUUUGAAGAAGUUACUUCAAUAAAUUAAUACACGAAUUUAACUAGAACAGCGUUUCCCAAAGUAUAGGUCGAAGGAAUAUUGAGUAACCUUUGAAACAGACUGCCACUAACGUUAAAGGUACCUAAUUUGAUGCUUAAUCUUGAAUUACAUUGAAUGCUCUUGAAAUUUGAUAAAAAUAGGUAAUAAAAGUGCAGUCACAAACGUAUGUGAACUAAUUCAAAAUUUUAAUUAGCGUUAAACUUUUGUAUACGUAUCAACAAAGGUUUUUUAUUUAUUAAAAUAAACUUUCGAUGGUUACUGUAUUUUAGAUAAAGAAGAAUGAAUAUAUAGUUUUGAAUUUAACUAGUUUUGUAGUUAGUUGUACAUCACUUUCCUUGAAAUAACCCUUUUUGUAUUUAAUUAAAGUAUUAGAUACAGAAUGAUUUUUUGUUGUUUGAAGAGUCCGUCAUUCAUGUAUGGCUCUCUUUUGCAUUUGAGAGGUAAGACGCAUUUGUAAAUGUUUUGUUAGAUCGCGAGCUACCUAACUUCGGGAACCACUGUUCUAGAAAGCUCUUUUUACGUAAUAUGCUCAAUUGAAUAAAGAUUUUGUAAUAAAUUGUUGAUUCCCUUGA